AUUGAACGCUGGCGGCAGGCCUAACACAUGCAAGUCGAACGAGUGGCGGACGGGUGAGUAAUGUCUGGGAAACUGCCCGAUGGAGGGGGAUAACUACUGGAAACGGUAGCUAAUACCGCAUACCAUCGGAUGUGCACAGAUGGGAUGAGCUAGUAGGUGGGGUAACGGCUCACCUAGGCGACGAUCCCUAGCUGGUCUGAGAGGAUGACCAGCCACACUGGGACUGAGACACGGCCCAGAUUGCUACGGUAGGCAGCAGUGGGGAAUAUUGAACAAUGGGCGCAAGCCUGAUGGAGCCAUGCGGCGUGAAUGAAGAAGGCCUUCGGGGGGUAAAGUGCUGUCGGCGAGGAGGCGUUACUCGCAGAAGAAGCACCGGCUAACUCCGUGCCAGUGGCCGCGGUAAUAC
rnacentral:rRNA from 1 species